AUCUCUUGGAGUUCUAGCUCACCUUUCUGGUGUUGUUCUUGUACUCAUCUGUUUAAUCUAGUUCUGUCACUUCUUCUUGAACUUUUUGUUAGAUUUCAAGUCUGUAUUUUAUGUCCGUGACACUUUGUUAGCCACAUGUCUUAACUUGCAAGGCAAGUUAUUUAUAUAUGUGCCACAUAGUGUCACGAACAUACACAUGUAAGCCAAUAAUUACAUGUAUAAAUAGGUAGAAGUAAGUAAACGUAGGUAAAAGUAAGUAAAUUCUAGAAUAUUUUGCUAUGAAAGCUUCUUAGAAGCUUUAUAAAUGCUGCUUUGACUUUAUAGGUGUCUUUAAUUGACUUUUUGGAUUAGAAACGUAGUCAAUAAGUUGGUCAUGUACCACACAUAUUGUUAGCUUGAAGACCAAGCUAAUCAUGUGGCCCACACGUAGAAAAACUUGCCUUUUAAAUCAAGACAUGUGUCAUACAAAGUCAACACAUAUUGAAGGUCCUAUAGAACAUCGCCACGUAGCUCCUAAUUAGAUAGUAUAUAUAGAGACAAGAGAGAAGCCCUCUUCACUUUUGUCAACUCCUUUCUUGCUUCUAGUCUAGUUUCAAGGAUCUCCAAUUUUCUUGUCUUUUGGCAAUAGCCAU
rnacentral:lncRNA from 1 species